GUAAUAGAAAUUUCAACGAAACAAACAAAAAACAACUAAAUAUCAUUUACAGUGUCUUUUAUAAAUUUAUACAAGUAAACAUAAGUUGAGGCAUUCUUAAGCAACUCUUUUAAACAUUGCGGGACCCGGUUAGGCUUCUUAUAGAUUUUAAAAGCUCAUCCGCCAACACAAGGCGCUGAAUGUUGAAAGAUGAACAUUCGAAGAAAAUGUGAUGUAGUGAUUGAAUUUUUUGUGAUUGACAAUAUUCGCAAUAGGGAGAAUUAGCCAUUUUAAUACGAUGAAGAUGACAAUUUAAUCUAUAAUGACCAAAACGCAUACGACAAAUAAUUGAAUAAAAUUUUCUAUUGAUAAAAUUAUUUUUCUUGCAAAACCAAGGAGUGGAGUUUAUUUGGACAUCCAUACUAGCAAACCAGUUUCCUUUAUUUUCAUGGAUAAAUUAUAUGAAAUAUGGACACCCAAAAAUUUCACUUCAGAUGUAGUGGGUAACAAACAAUUAUUAUAUUGCACAGCAGGUGUACUGUGACAAUGUUUACCAAAUACAAUAACUUUAGACUUGGAUGGAUUCACACUGAGAUCAAGGAAUCCCUAUUUGUAAUAACUCAAGGCAUAGAAUAUCUAUGUUUACACUAUUAAAAGCACCUGCGAUGUCAAAGAAUACACCGACCAAGUUUUCAUUUGCGGAUAUAGAGUUUUGUAUAUCCAGCUGUAACUGGCAAACGCU